CUUCACCGACCCCAGCCACAGCGGCCGGUCCUGCGGCCUGCCCCGGCCGUAGGUGUUGAGCAGCGCCCGCGCCUC
rnacentral:antisense_RNA from 1 species